UGCUAGAGGAAGCGAGGCCUCACUUCUGCUGAUAAAAGUAGCCAUGUUAGUGUGUUGGUGCUAUUUCACUUGGCAUCUCGUGUCUUCAUCAUACGGAAGUGGUGAAGAUCACACGCUACGCAGCAGACGUCCAGGAUGCCUCGUGACGACAAGGGCAGCGGUACUCAGCCUCUAGAGGACCAGAAACCCUUAGGACACACACACGACCCCCUGCCGCUCCUCCUUAUGGUCCCAAGUCAGAUGCAGUUCCCGGAGAUCGUCCACGCCGCGGCAACCACGGCGGGCCAGGACCUGUUGUUGGGCCGCUAUCAGCCAAUCAGUCCGUCAGUCACAGCGUAAGGUCAGCCAGGGGGUGGCAGCACAGACGACACGCUGCACGGGGGACGAGGGGCAGUGUGCACCUCUCCUCUGGGGGUGAGAAGUUACCUCAAUGCAGGACUUGAUUUACCUGGAGAUCCACCUCUCUUCUCCAAAUUCUGGAGUGUGUAAUGGAGCAAGUAUGACAACACAUUCUUCUUUGUUUGUUUCCUUGAGAUUU